AUGCCGAGUAAAUUGGUCCGAAUCGAAGCAGCUUAAUGAAACAAAAUGGAGGAAAUUAACGACACCUAACGACGAUAAAUUGAUUUACGUUGAAAAUAAUACAAGUGAAAAUUUAAAAAUUUUAAAGGUGCAAAAUAGCGCAUUACAAAAGUACCAGAGUUAUUUGAUGAAACUAGUAGUUACCUGUGAAAGCGAAACAAC